AUCAACUUUCGAUGGUAGGAUAGAGGCCUACCAUGGUGGUAACGGGUAACGGGGUGUUAGGGCACGACACCGGAGAGGGAGCCUGAGAAACGGCUACCACAUCCAAGGAUGGCAGCAGGCGCGCAAAUUACCCAAUCCCGACACGGGGAGGUAGUGACAAUAAAUAACAAUACGGGGUUCUUUAGGAUCUCGUAAUUGGAAUGAGUACAAUUUAAAUCUCUUAACGAGGAACAAUUGGAGGGCAAGUCUGGUGCCAGCAGCCGCGGUAAUUCCAGCUCCAAUAGCGUAUAUUAGAGUUGUUGCAGUUAAAAAGCUCGUAGUUGAAUUUCGGGGUUAGUAGGUUGGUCAUGCCUCUGGUAUGUACUGGUCUCACUGAUUCCUCCUUCCUGAUGAGCCGUAAUGCCAUUAAUUUGGUGUUGCGGGGAAUUUGGACUGUUACUUUGAAAAAAUUAGAGUGUUUAAAGCAGGCAUUUUGCUUGAAUACAUUAGCAUGGAAUAAUAAAAUAGGACGGCAUGAUUCUAUUUUGUUGGUUUCUAGGAUUGACGUAAUGAUUAAUAGGGAUAGUUGGGGGCAUUAGUAUUCAAUUGUCAGAGGUGAAAUCCUUGGAUUUAUUGAAGACUAACUACUGCGAAAGCAUUUGCCAAGGAUGUUUUCAUUAAUCAAGAACGAAAGUUAGGGGAUCGAAGACGAUCAGAUACCGUCGUAGUCUUAACCAUAAACUAUGCCGACUAGGGAUCGGAUGAUGUUAAUUUUUUAAUGACUCAUUCGGCGCCUUACGGGAAACCAAAGUGUUUGGGUUC
rnacentral:rRNA from 1 species